UGCUAGUUGCACGAGUUCAGACUCGUAGCGAAUAGCUCAGUAACACGUGGCCAAACUACCCUUCGGAGCACCAUACCCUCGGGAAACUGAGGCUAAUAGUGCAUCCCGCACUCACCCUGGAAUGGCGAGUGCGUCAAACGCUCCGGCGCCGAAGGAUGUGGCUGCGGCCGAUUAGGUAGACGGUGGGGUAACGGCCCACCGUGCCGAUAAUCGGUACGGGUCAUGAGAGUGAGAACCCGGAGACGGAAUCUGAGACAAGAUUCCGGGCCCUACGGGGCGCAGCAGGCGCGAAACCCUUACACUGCACGACAGUGCGAUAAGGGGAUCCCAAGUGCACAGGCAUAGAGCCUGUGCUUUUGUACACCGUAGGGAAGUGUACGAAUAAGGGCUGGGCAAGACCGGUGCCAGCCGCCGCGGUAAUACCGGCAGCCCGAGUGAUGGCCGAUCUUAUUGGGCCUAAAGCGUCCGUAGCUGGCCGCACAAGUCCAUCGGGAAAUCCACCCGCCCAACGGGUGGCCGUCCGGUGGAAACUGUGUGGCUUGGGACCGGAAGGCGCGACGGGUACGUCCGGGGUAGGAGUGAAAUCCCGUAAUCCUGGACGGACCGCCGAUGGCGAAAGCACGUCGCGAAAACGGAUCCGACAGUGAGGGACGAAAGCUAGGGUCUCGAACCGGAUUAGAUACCCGGGUAGUCCUAGCCGUAAACAAUGCCUGCUAGGUGUGGCUCCCACUACGAGUGGGUGCUGUGCCGUA
rnacentral:rRNA from 1 species